rnacentral:lncRNA from 1 species
UGAGAGGAGGGGGCUUCCACUUCCAUCACCUGGCAAGGGAACCUCCACAGCCCAAGAAUAUUAACAUUUAUCAGGUGCCGGGCAUGGGCCUCAUGUGUUUUAUGUAAUUCAAUCCUCCCAACAAAAGUAUGAGAAAGACCACACUCAGGCCAAGCACUGUGGUUCCCGCCUGAAAUCCCAGCGCUUUGAGAGGUGGAGGCAAGAGGAUUGCUUGAGCUCAGAAGUUCAAGACCACCCUGGGCAACAUAGU